rnacentral:rRNA from 1 species
GCGUUGUCCGGAUUUACUGGGCGUAAAGAGCGUGUAGGCGGCCAGACAGGUCUGUUGUGAAAACUGGAGGCUUAACCUCCAGACGUCGACAGAAACCGUCUGGCUAGAGUCCGGAAGAGGAGAGUGGAAUUCCUGGUGUAGCGGUGAAAUGCGCAGAUAUCAGGAAGAACACCAAUGGCGAAAGCAGCUCUCUGGGACGGUACUGACGCUGAGACGCGAAAGCGUG